rnacentral:ncRNA from 2 species
UAUUACCGCUAGGGGUGCUCGGGGCUGAGAGGCUGAAGGAUGCCGACCCUUUGAACCUGAACUCGUUAGUACGAGCGUAGGGAAGCGGCCGUAGCCUGAA